UACGAGGGUGGCAAGCAGUAUUCCGGAUUCACUGGGUUUAAAGGGUGCGUAGGAGGGCAGGUAAGUCAGUGGUGAAAUCUCCGAGCUUAACUUGGAACUGCCGUUGAUACUAUCUGUCUUGAAUACCGUGGAGAUGAGCGGAAUAUGUCAUGUAGCGGUGAAAUGCUUAGAUAUGACAUAGAACACCAAUUGCGAAGGCAGCUCGUUACACGAAUAUUGACUCUGAGGCACGAAAGCGUGGGGAUCAAACAGG
rnacentral:rRNA from 1 species